CCAUGGCAUGAAGCAGUGCUCAGCAGUUGCCGGUGUGGUGGCACGAGUGUGCUGGGCCAUGGGGCAUGAGCUGCUCUCCUCUCGCAUCCCUGCUGGCAAAUUGGGCUCUGCUCCACUCAGCUGAGCAUUAAGCACGUGCUAAACAGAAGCACAUGAGUCAUCCUGCUGACUUGAACUUGAGCUGAUGAACAGCAAGCAGGAAGAAAGAAAUAACAAAUACUUUUCUUCACGCAUGAAGCCCUUUGGUUGUGCAGGGAUGCUGUUAUCUGUGGUGAAAAAAUGUACCAACAAUUUACCAGCACCUUAAAUGAAGUGUCAAACCUGUUAAGCUCCCUUCCUUAAUACACUUUUACGUUUUGGGUUACUUUGCAUUUUUGAGUUGUAACACCCAGAAGAGUAAGCACAGAAUAUUUACACUAAAAAUGAACAGUGUGGAACUGUGACAGAUGGGCAUUAAUCUGUCAUCAAUUACAUCGGACACAGAACAGAACAAAGUUGGGAAGCUGUAAGAAAAUAUGAACCCUAUCUUUUUUGAAGAAAAAAUGAACUGGACACAGACAGAAACCUCUAAUCCGAGUAAGUAGGUCAUAAAUCCUGAUUUUUUUUAAGGCAGGAUCCUGAGGAAGAUGUGGAAGCCAGCCCUAAAGAAAAGGCUUUAUCCUCACUCAGAGUCCUGUGACACAGGAAAAAAAAUCCAGGAUCAAAAAUUCCCCAUGUAACUGUGGGACUAUUGGUGGUAUUUUCAGAGACCUUUUCUAUAACUGCAUUUGAGGGGUGAGAUAAUGGAGGCAGACAAAUUUCAUACCAAGGAGUAUGACUGGACUCACCAAAAGAAUGUGAGGGGGCAGUUAACAAAUAGUGUCUGUAGCAGUGGUUAUGGCAGUGCUGGGGUGUUUUGCGGGCAAAAAGAUCAAACAUAAAUUAAGAAGCUGGACCAUAGGAGACUCUGCUCUUGCACAUUUUGCCUCACAGGGUUAAUGUUUGCACUGUGUGAGUUAGGUGCAACCAUAGUUUACUUUAUUUUACUUCCCUUUUCCUGUCUUAUUCAUAGUAAAUAUGUAGUUCUGGUGUGUUUGAGGUUUGUGAAUGUCAUAGUAGAAUUGUCUCAAACAUAUAAAAUCUGCCUAUCAGCCUAUGUGUUUUGAAUGGUGCUGUGUUUCUAUCACUUGCCUGACAUUUGUUGUUCAAAGAAAUGUAGGUGAGAUCUACCCAUCCUAGGAUGCUUUGCUGUGAGGUCUGGCAGCUGGCAGGUGAAUGUACUGUGUUUUGAGCUCAGAGGAGAGCUGAGAUUAAAAGGUUAUAAAGGGACAAAACUGUAUUUUGUCACAUGUGUAAAACAUAUGAUUCAUACCUGCAAUUACCUGCUUGCACUAAUUUACCCCAUAUAUUUGUUUUUUCUGAUUAAAAUUCAGGACUAUCCUUACAUUUAACUGAUAACUGUUUAUAGGCUCACUGUAAAACUCUACCAUUUUUGUAGACAGAAGGAACUCCAGGGUAAUUAUCAGUUCACAUAAAAACAUAAACAGAUGCCCCAUAGCAACACAUAUUUUAUUGCUGAGAAUGUAGAUUUUAUAAAAAUAUCCAGAGACAGUGCUGUGAGUAAGCAAGACUUGUGUGACUAGCAUUCCAGAUGCCCUCAUGAUAUGGGCACUGCAUCUGAUUUUCAACAAUAUUAAAGUUUCUACUGAUUUUACAGGGAGAUUUGGGAACUUGGAGAAUCUGGACUUUCAGAAUCUCAGUCUGCUUCUCUUGUGGAUCAAAAUGUGGCACCAUUUUACCAGAGUAAAAACUCUUCUGGGUGAGGCUGUUAUUGCUGAGCCAGUGCCAGGUCCCACUUUGGGUGCAGCAUUUGGAGCGGCACUGAGCUCCGGCUGGUCACACAGCAGAGGAGCAGAGCUUGUUCCCUCGGGCAUGGAACAACACUAAUGUAAUUAUGCAGCUUUUAGGACUAGAGCUAGUAUUUCCAACAGAAAUCAGAGCUGUGUUAUACCAGAUUGGCCAGUACUAACCCAAGGAUCUCUUUGUGAGAGAGGAUAAAAUCUUUUCUGAUGGAUACAGGGAUAUCUUCCUUGUCUGUGCCAACAUCUGAUGCUAAGAAAUUAUGUUACUGAUACUGAGGGUAUCAGCAGAUCUCACUGCAAGUGUUAAACAUGGGACAGAAAUCUCUUUUUUAUUUUAAUAAAAAAAUAGAGUUAGAUUGAAACUAACUUUGUUGCAUGAUUCUGAAAGAUAAGACUGGAGGCACAUUGCUAGGCCUGAGUCAGUAAGGACUAACUUUGCAGUGUCACCUGAGCAAGAAAUGUGCCCAGUUACCUGUUAAAUUAUCAUCAGAGUUAGACAGAAGGUACAAAACCCUGAUGGGUAGAAUACCUUUCUGAAAAUGCUAACUCUGUUUUUUUUGUCAUGAGUGUAUCUUCAUACAUCUCACUCCACUGAAAAGAAAAAAAUAAAGGAACAUCUCUCAUGAGUAACACAGCAAGACAGAGACAUUUAGCACAGGUUAGCACAGCUAAUUUCAGAGUCAUCAAACUGAUCAAAGCCUCUUUAACUGAGUUUGAGCUAUCAAACUAAUUUUGUUGUUGGCUUUGUACCAUCAUAUCCCAAUUAUUGAUCUAUUGCUGGGGGAUCCUUUUCAGAUACUGUAUGAUAUAUUUUGUGCAGUGAUUCCACUGCACCAAGAAGUGUUUGCCGGGUCAAGCAACACAUACAUUUUCCUGUCAGACAAACAGAUGUGCCCAUCUGUUCAACCUUUAAAGACAUACUCUGAUCUUUACCUGACUAAUACUUGAGGCCUUGGAAACAUUUUGGAUAUAAGGAGUUAAAUAAGAAGUGGACUGUUUUUUCACUGGGACCUCACAGUCUGAACAGGCCUUCUGCUUCAGGUCACUUCUAUUCUGCUCAUGCCUGCAUGGAUAGAGUGCAUCUCCAUCUGUCCUUGUCAAGCUGGAAGUAGCGCACUAUUUUAUCCUACUUUCUAAACAAUGAUUUUUUGGAUACUCUUUAGCUGCAGUAAGUCUUUGUAGUGAUAGGCAGGAUCCUGGUGCAUAGGACUUUUUUUACAGAUUCCAUGUACAGGUGAUGCCUGUAAUUUUAUCUGACUGGUAAGUGGCAGUGAAAAUGCAGUAAUGCAAAAGCCACUUACAUUUAUGUAACAUCUUUCAAUCACAGAGCUGUAGAAUUGUAACAUUAUAAAGCAGUGUGAAGUUUUCUUUCACUCUGUCCCUGCCCAAAGACCACAUUGAUUGUAUUUGCCAUUCCUGGCAGGUGUCUUAUCCUUUAAACACUCCAGUGAAAAACAUUAUCCUCAAGAAAUCUGUUGCAUUUCCCUGUUUGUGUAUCACUAGAACAUUGUUUAUGCACAUGUAGCUUCAGCCCCCCUUUUCACUUUCACCUGGAGGUUGUUAUUGUGUGGCACCAUAGACUUCUCUGCUUUAGGCUGUACAUUCUCUCUUCUAUCAAUCUUUCCUGAUAGCUCAUAUUUUUUGUACCUUUGAUUGUUUUUGUUCCUCUCCUCAGGGCUUCCACACAAAGUCCACAGCUGGUUUUUGGAGUGUAGUAGCCAAAACUAGUAGAAAUAUUUCUUCUAAGUCCCUGUCAUUGUUGAAGUGAAGUGACAGGUUACUUAGUACAUCUGAUAGGCUACAUUUCUGCUUACACAUUCAUAUCCUAGUAAAAUGCAUAUAAUUUGGACAGAUCAAUCUACAGAACGUCAUUUGGAGCAUUCACUAAAUCAAGCUGCAGCAAUGUGAUGUGUAACAACAUUGCUGGUUUUGUUUUAAAAUUAUGUUGUUAAAUAUCUUGUCCAGUUGUUACACAGUGAAGCAGUAUCAGCAGCAUCCCAAGAGUUUUGCUUCUUAUUACCCAGAGGUAGACUUAAAUCACACUACAAAUGACAAGCCUGAUCAUUAUUAAUUCCGAGCAACCUUCAGUCAUACAAUUCCAUCUCCGGGAGCCAGUGAGAUUCUUCACACAGAGAGGAUGACUACCAUGGAGGUGGCCAAAGGAUUUACACUAUCUAGUUUUGAAUAAAUAUUGACCUACGCGAAAACUGAGGAAGAACAAAUGCCAAAAUAACCAGUGGUGGCAAAUUAUGCAGUGUGUUGUAUGUGAUGUGCUGAUAUCUCUCCUCUAUAACUGAAAAUCAAGGAUUUGACAUGCAGUGUCUGACUGAAGCUUUCAAAGACCUUGAAUGCAGUUUUACUGACAUUGGGUUUUUAUGCAAUUUGAAUCUCUAAGCCAACACAGAGGUCCUUGCCUUAACUGGAGGCUUAGUGGUUAUUGAUAAGAUGUUAGGAGAGAGCAGACAUUAAUUAUCUGUGUUCAUAAUUCAAAUUCAUUUUUUAAACACUGCAGCAUCUUGUCAUUAAAAAUAUAGAUGCUGAACAAUUGGAGUGUAGACCCCCACAGAACUUGUCAGCAGAUUCCAUGGUAGCUAUUCCCUUUGGAAUCAAUUAAAAAUAUCUUCUACAAAUCCAUUUGUUCUUAUCCAUACUUAAAAGGGAUCCACAAACAGUAUAUUAGGAAAAAAGGCUUUAACAUCAAUUACAUCAAAUUAGGUAAAGAUUCUUCAAGAAAUUGCUAAGCUUGACAUGAUAUGAAUGUAUUUAACUGAAAUCUUGACUUGAUAUAUUCAAAAUAUUCACUGUGUGUCAUGAAAAUAAUUUCAAUGGGUUUGCCAUUAAGACUUCCAUUGUUUUAGGCAUUAAAAAUGGACUUAGUACUGAAAUCACUCCUCCAGACCCAGUCUUUACGCCAUAUUUAGAGCUGACUACAAGCAAAAUGUCUGAUUCUGCAAGUGCUUGAGAAUUUCAGCAUCUUAAUUUCUGUGACUAUUUGUUUGCCUGGAUGUUUAUGGUCUUAUGUCUGUUCAAACCAAGGUCAUCAGGACUAUUCUGGGCCUCUUGCACUUUAACUAAGUUGUAAUUGUGUCUGAGUGUAAGCAAUCAGUGAAAUAAUAAUACUUCACUGCUUUUUGCUUGAGAGACUAGAAAUUAUUUUUCCUGUGCAAGUGGCAAUAUGUGCCAUUAAUUGGAAGAUGGGCACAAAGGCCCCUUUUCUGAGACAGCUGAGGAAUGGAGCAAUGCCCUGGCAGCAAUCAUCUUCUGCUCAGGCCUCUGUGCAUCCUCAGCAUAAACAGGGUGAGACAUUGCCCCAUUGGUCCUUCGUCCUAGACAACAGUCAUUAAGGACCUGUGUUUGGGGCCAACUGAAGUAGCCUCCCUUACUGGCUUCAGUUUCAAGACAAUGGCUCCAAGUUCAGGGUAGUGUGCCCCCCAAAGCAUGUCUAUUUCUGUAGAACUGUCCAGGUUUUACAGACUUGAAAUCCAAGCCCUCAGGGAAGUCUACUCCAAAAGGAACAAAGUUUAUCUUUGUUAGGUAAUUAGGCUGUGGAGCAUAUAAUUGCAUAGAUUAUUCCCAUAAAUAAAGAAUUGAUUUUAACAAGAAAUGAAUAUUAUAGCAAAAAAGGUAAAUGGGGAAUUAUAUUGUAGCCAAAUUGUAUGCUGAAAGCAGUGUUGAAGCUCCAGGGUAUUUGUGUCAAUAAUGCAAUGCAUCUAAGUAGUUGCUAAGCUUACAUACAUUUGUGGAACUGUUGGAAAAAAAUUGUGACAAAAUGUUUUUUAAGAAACAAAAUGUAUCCUAGGCCUUAUAAAUUCCAUCCAUUCAUUAAAUCAAGACUUACAAUUAAUAUCAGAAUUUAGUAUACUUUAGGACUAAGAAAAUCUCCUUCAGUACAAAAACUCCAAAAAAUGUUUUCUCUUAAAAGAUGAAAAAGAACCCCAACCCCAUCAAUACUCUUCUCUUCAAAGUUCUCUUGGAACAGACAUUGCUGCCCCUUUUCCCCUUCUCAAGGGUCUGCUGAAGACAUUCCUUACUGUCUACACCCAUGAUAAGGAAAAUGACCUGGAAAGCAGUGACACAGAAGACUCUCAUGCGAAGAAGUGUGAAAGGAAUCUCUUAAGAGUUUUGAGACUUAAAUAUAUACACCACAACAUAUCAGUCAGUUUUGUCAAGAUCUGAACUGUGGAUCCCAGCUCUAGGCAUCUGGGAAUACUUUCAGUACUUCUGCCCACAGCCCAGGGCAAAAUCAUUGAUGAUCAGAUAUAUCCAUUUCACACCUUCCACACUUGUGCAUGCUUGGAUUUCUACUUGGCUAGUAGGUCUCACUAGCCAUAUGUGUGGCUGUACGAUUUCAGAGAGUAGAGACUCAUGGCAAGGUAAUGAACUGGACAGUAAAAAGGAGAGACUGUUGCUUCUCAGAGCUGUGAUAAAAGGCUUCUAUAUCUGGCAAAGUAUAGAAGCUGGUGUGACAAGACAUUUCACAAGGACACUGCUCCUGCUGAAAUGUCACCAGGGCAGAGUGGGGAGUCAGGAGAUAGAGACCUUUGGUUAAAUUUUAUUGCAGAUCCUCACCUUCAUAUGUUUUAGUCCUUAAACUAUGAAAUCAAGAAAAGACACAAAAUACUUUUAAACCUGGUUUGGGAUUGAGUGGUAAGAAAAUAUAUGUAUCAGGAGACAAGAAGAUAUAUGAAGUGUUCUAAUAUUUAUAAAUAUCCUGCAUCCCAGGAAAUAGUGUUUGUGAUUAAAAUACAAAUUAAUCUUUUCUUUAUACCUUCCCAUGCUGUGAUGAUCAUUCAGAUAUUAAAUAUCAUACACUAUCCUCACACAACCAAAUGUAUAGCUGCUAUUUUUUGUCAAAAUAAUUACCUUUUCCAUAUUACUUAUGUUUCUUAUUAUUUUCUUUGCUAUUGAAUGUCGAGAUAAAAAGGCACUCACAUUCAGUUCUGUAUACAGAGUCAGUAAAAAAUUGUGUAUGCGUAACAGGGGAAAUCAGAAUACUGUAACUGUCUUGAUUGCAGUUGUUUUGAUGCAGAUAUUAAAAAUAAAAAAAUAGCACAGGCGCAGUGUACUUCCCAUUGAGAUAUUCCUCAUGGAGAGAUUAACCUCUCCAAACAAAGACAUCUAUUUGAGACACCAUCUGGGGUGUCCAGGACAGCUGUAAGAGCCAGCAGACACAAACCAUGAUCUGCAGAUGCUUACACCCUCUUGGAGCUACAACUGGAAACUGCGCAGUACAACCCCGUGUAAACUCCUUUCACAUGUGUACCUUAAGACGGAGGUAUUUUUGACUCUGCAAAUUUUUAUAGGAAGGACAACAAAUACAGUUCACAUGUAACACUUCACAUGAGAAAAAUACCUCCAAUCCUUCAAAGGUUCCUCUUAUUCAUUUCUUCUGUAAGACAGAAAUGUACAUCAAUUAACUACCCCUGAAAUAUGGAUCCAAAUCAAGUUCUCACAAAAUGUGUUGUUAACAACACAUACCGGUAGUAUGUUUCCAUUGCAUCAAUUGUUUUAGUGAUAAAUAACCCUUACAAAAUAGAAUGACUUGUUGACAGACAAAAGCACCAUCUAACAAUGGUCUAUUUAGACUUGCAAAUGACAGAACACUUAAUUAUUCCAAAAUAACAUUUCCCCAUUAAACUAUGAUCAUUAAAUCCAUCAUCCUUCAGUUUAUAUGCAUGAAACAUUUAUCAUGUCUUCUACAAACAGGAGUCAGUCAUCUCAAUAUAGAUUUUUGGACCAUUCAUUUCAUCAUGGCAUUUCAUCAAAAGCCCAGGGUUUCAUUUAUUUUCUGUUACAGAGAUAAAGUGUUUGUAAAUUAUGCGAUAAGACCAUAAAGAAAAGUGAAGUGAAAUUCUGCUCCAUACAAAGAUGAUAAAUACAAUACCUACUUUGAACACUGGGAUUAUUGUGUGAGAAAAAUGAGAUAUUGGAAGUUGGUAGCUAUGUUUAAGAUAAGAAGUUUUUUCCAAAAAUUUUUCAUUAA